UUACACACCUUCUCUUUCUCAUAACAUUGCCUUUCAUCUCUCUCCCGUAAUUCUCUUCUCCCUCUUUUUCCCUCAACCCUAAAAUUACGCCGCCGACAACAACAAGUUCAACCGUGAAACACCAGCAAAACUGACAUUCGGUUCAACCGUGAAACACCAUUUUUCAAUACCUUUUAUCUCUCUGCUCCCGGUUUUCCCUCUAUCUUUCUUUCUAUCGUCUUCUCUCUUCUUUGUUUCUCUACAAACCCUAGCGCAGCCGCAAACCCUAGCGCAACCACAAACCCUAUUGUCUUAGUUAUCAAUCAAUCUUCCAAACGCUUGCUUUCUUCUCCUUCUCAUACAGCGCAAAUGAUCCAAGGUUUCAGAGGAUGCUUCAUCAUACCCAUUUUCGUAAUCCUCACCUCAAAACAAUUUUCGUAAACCAUUUUUUAUGGGUCAUUGUUGGGUUAGUUUUUACAGAUCUGGAGACUUGGUUAAAGGUUUGUUUAGGCUUGUGAUUGUGUUUCACUGCAUCCUUGGUUCUGGACGUGCCGCCGUCAAUUGUUUUUAUUUUUUCAAUAAUAUUUUGUAAAUAUGUUCAUAAUAAUCAUUUAAUUCAAUUGAUUUUUAAUGACUUUUAGAGUUCUGCAAAUGAGUUUGUUUAGGUUUUUAUGCAGCAAAACACAUUCUUCAAUUAGGGUUUCUUGAUUUGAGAAUUUUCUGCAUGUGAAGGGGAAAACUAAUGUUGGUCAAGUGGAUUUUAACAACUCCCUGAGUGGAUUUUUAUUAGGUAACUCCUUGAUUUUAAGCUUAACUGACCGAAAAUGUGAUUUUUUUGUUUAGUUGGAGCAACAAACCUAGAGUGUGCAAAAGCUCUUAGAGUAAAUGCUGGAGCUGAACCUGGUGCAGAUCUUGGUCCGUAUAUCAGCAAACAGAUGCAUUCACAGGGAAGUAAGCAAGGAUGAAAAUAUAGUUGAUUCUCAUCUCAAGAUUCAACAAGAAAAUGAACACACACAAUAUCGUGACGUAAAUUUGAAAUCAAUCAUCCUGGUAAAAUUUUAAUUAACUGUUGAUUUCACAAUUUUUGACUAAAU